GGGGUCACUGUGGUUUUUGCUCCUGGGGUAACUGUGGUAGUUGCUACUGGGGCCUGUGUGGCUGUUGCUCCUGGGGCAGCUGUGGUUGUUGCUCCUGGGGUCACUGUGGUAGUUGCUCCUGGGGCCUGUGUGGUUGUUUCUCCUGCGACAGCUGUGGUAGUUGCUCCUGGGCAGCUGUGGUUGUUGCUCCUAGGGUUACUUUGGCGGUUGCUCCUGGGGCAGCUGUGGUUGUUCCUCCUGGGGUCACUGUGAUAGUUGCUCCUGGGGCCUGUGUGGUUGUUGCUCCUGCAGCAGCUGUUGUAGUUUCUCCUUGGGCAGCUGUGGUUGUUGCUCCUAGGGCAGCAGUUGCUGUUCCUUGA
rnacentral:lncRNA from 1 species